UUUACUGUGUAGUACUACUGGUUUUACUGUGUAGUACUACAGGUUUUACUGUGUAGUACUACAAGUUUUACUGUGUAGUACUACAGGUUUUACUGUGUAGUACUAUAGGUUUUACUGUGUAGUACUAUAGGUUUUACUGUGUAGUACUACUGGUUUUACUGUGUAGUACUACAGGUUUUACUGUGUAGUUCUACAAGUUUUACUGUGUAGUACUACAGGUUUUACUGUGUAGUACUAUAGGUUUUACUGUGUAGUACUACAGGUUUUACUGUGUAGUACUACAGGUUUUACUGUGUAGUACUAUAGGUUUUACUGUGUAGUUCUACAAGUUUUACUGUGUAGUACUACAGGUUUUACUGUGUAGUACUACAGGUUUUACUGUGUAGUACUAUAGGUUUUACUGUGUAGUUCUACAAGUUUUACUGUGUAGUACCACAGGUUUUACUGUGUAGUACCACAGGUUUUACUGUGUAGUACUACAGGUUUUACUGUGUAGUACCACAGGUUUUACUGUGUAGUACUACAGGUUUUACUGUGUAGUACUAUAGGUUUUACUUCAUGUUCUUUGUUCUCCAACAUUCUCAAUAAUAACAUCAGUCGAUCAUCACUGAUGCUGUUGCUGGUUCAGCUGCAGACUGAAGCAUGUCCUGUUAUGUGCGUGUGUGUGUGUGUGUGUGUGUGUGUGUGUGUGUGUGUGUGUGUGUGUGUGUGUGUGUGUGUGUGUGUGUGU